rnacentral:rRNA from 1 species
CCUACGGGAGGCAGCAGUGGGGAAUAUUGCACAAUGGGGGAAACCCUGAUGCAGCGACGCCGCGUGAGUGAAGAAGUAUUUCGGUAUGUAAAGCUCUAUUAGCAGGGAAGAAAAUGACGGUACCUGAUUAAGAAGCCCCGGCUAACUACGUGACAGCAGGCGCGGGAAUACGUAGGGGGCAAGCGUUAUCCGGAUUUUCUGGGGGUAAAGGGAUCGUAGACGGGUGCACAGGACUGGCGUGAAAGGCCGGGGCUUAACCCCGGAAGGGCUUUGGAAACUGUGCAGCUAGAGUGCAGGAGAGGUAAGUGGAAUUCCAAGUGUAGCGGUGAAAUGCGUAGAUAUUAGGAGGAACACCAGUGGCGAAGGCGGCUUACUGGACUGUAACUGACGUUGAGGCUCGAAAGCGUGGGGAGCAAACAGGAUUAGAUACCCGUGUAGUC